CUUUCACCCCUCACCCCGGCUCCCUUGUCACUGCUCUCCUCCCCCGCUCUCCACCUCCCGGGCCUCUCGGAUUGGAUGGAAGCAGUGGACUGAAGGGGAACCAAAACCAGCCAAAAAGACUGAAUUCAACAAACAUUUCAUUCAGCAUCAUUGAUCAUGUGUGUACUGAGGCAGUAAAGGAAGAAAAGCUGAAAAAGCAGGUGCUGUCCAAGAAACCCAAAUAAGAAUUCUGGAUGUGACUGGAAUGAUAGAGAACUCAAGCUCCACAUAACAACUGCCAUGAGAUAUGUGCAUAUGCUCAAAAGAGUCAUAGAAGUCCUGUGGCAAGAUAAAAAAUCAGAAUGACUGGCAAUGACCCAGGAUGCAGUGGGUGGCCUUGGUGUCUUCAAUAUCUGACCGAGCUCUAAGCACUCUCCAGCACCUGCCUCAGCUGCCUUCAUGGCUAUUGGAACAAACUGUUCUCAUCCACUCACAGACU